UUGACCUCGGAUCAGGUAGGGAUACCCGCUGAACUUAAGCAUAUCAAUAAGCGGAGGAAAAGAAACCAACAGGGAUUACCUCAGUAACGGCGAGUGAAGCGGUAAGAGCUCAAAUU
rnacentral:rRNA from 2 species